rnacentral:snoRNA from 1 species
AUGAUGACGGCUGGGUUUCCGAUUUCAUGAAGAUUUAGGAGCCAGCUGA